AUUGCCUUAAGGGUGGGCGGAAGCGCAGAAGGUACUGUAAUUUUAAUUUAGCAUGGAAGAAGAAUUUCAAUUUACGAUGGUCAAAGCUAACUGAUACUACCCAGCCAGUUGACUGGCAGCAGAGAUAUUGGGAGAGGCACUUGCAAAGUUGCCUAGAUGAAGCAGCAGAAAUAGCCUCACUACCAUCUUUUUCUAAAUGUAUUGGAGAAAUAGAGAUGUCAGACUCUGUAUUGAAAUAUAUUGCCAGCGAAGGGUUUGCUCAUUUCUGGUGUGCAAAGUAUAG
rnacentral:misc_RNA from 1 species